UUCUGUGCCUGAGCUACAGGCUGUUAGAUUUGGGUAUGUCUUCAGACGGAAAUUGCACAAAGUAGGGGGGGAGCUGCAAGAGGUUAAAGGUGAGAUACCGCUUUAAAACCAUUUAUUUAAUUCAUAAUAUUUAGUACAGACCUUUUUAAAACAUUUCUACUGCGCAAUAUUGAAACAUGCACAUAUGUUUUUUAUGUAUCGACAUUGGUUGAACAACAGUUAUACAUCAUUACCAGACACAGUACUAAACUUUUAAUAAUCUUUAAAUGUUUAUAACAUGCGGUUGUAGGAAAGACAUUAUUCGUAUAAAAUAAGACAUUGUUUUUUUUAAGACAUUGCAUUUUUCCGCGACAGACCGGGGCGAGAGAGAAAAUGAGAGAUUCAUGUUCGUUAAAGGAUAAAGGGCCCGGCUAUAUGUUUAUACAUCCAUCCGUCUCCAAUUCACCAUUGUCAAGACAGACUCUCUUGCUCGCAGGAUAUCCCACACACGCUCCGUCAAGGCUCCGAUGCAGCCUCCCAUCUCCACCACCCCUGGCCAGCCAUCAUAUACAUUUGUCUCAACGUUGUGCUUCACUGCCUACAGUAUAUGGAGGAAUACAAAAACAAACAAACACAAUGAAGAACAUGUAUGAUUCCUUGAAGUAAAGUGCACACAUUAUUUGAUAUUCUAUAACCUUUAUUGAAAAGUACAUGCUUACUGUACUUUUUCAAGGGGCUUUGUCCAUUCAUGUAACCUGCUCCAACAAAGACCCAGUCAUCUCUGGUCUCCAGUGACUUCGCCCCAGUGCUCCCCAUACUGACAAACGUCUCCCUGAUUGUGUUGGUCAUCCUGAGAGAUGGCAUCAAACAGUUUUCGAUUUUGUCUAGUCGGGUUUUUAAUGGCAUGCUAGUCAGAAAAGUCUAAUUUGUCUCUAUCCUGACCUAGAGUUGGAGCUACCAUACAGGGCUGGGAUCAGUUAUGUCAAUUCAGCUUCUUUUUAUUGACAACUUACUUUGUAGCUGGAUGAUCUAAGGCGACCACAUGAAAUACACCAAACAUGUUUUUUAUACUGUGUUUUACAGUCCACUAUUUAGCAGGUAUUUGAGAAUUGCUUGAGAAUGUGAAAUGUUAAUUACCUAAAUAUUAUACAGUGGUCUCUUUGGGAUGCAUGGAAAUAGUACCAGGAAGUUAAAUUGAAGUUAUCUAUCAUGUUGCAUUCUUGUUUUGCAUGCAGAUACCACCCGUACAAAAAGAUCACCUGAAAAAAUCCUAUGGUUUUUGGUUACGUAAAAAAAAAGUUUCACAUGGAUCAUUCACAUGAAAAAUCACGUGUUGUUUUUGAACAUGUGAAACUGCAAAUGUUAUUUUUACAUGUGAUGAGCAAUCGGACUCCAGAGUUCCUCUGUAGAGAUGGGAAAACCUUCCAGAAGGACAACCACCUCUGCAGCACUCCACCAA